UACGGGGGGGGCAAGCGUUGUUCGGAAUUACUGGGCGUAAAGGGCUCGUAGGCGGCCAACUAAGUCAGACGUGAAAUCCCUCGGCUUAACCGGGGAACUGCGUCUGAUACUGGAUGGCUUGAAUCCGGGAGAGGGAUGCGGAAUUCCAGGUGUAGCGGUGAAAUGCGUAGAUAUCUGGAGGAACACCGGUGGCGAAGGCGACAUCCUGGACCGGUAUUGACGCUGAGUGAGCGAAAGCCAGGGGAGCAAACAGG
rnacentral:rRNA from 1 species